GAAAGAUCAUUGUUGCAAUUGUAGUACCCGCUUCCUGACUCAGAAAACUAACCACGAGGACACGUACACCAGUCCAAAAAGACCCAAGAAUACGACCCUGGAAAGAGAACGUACAAAGAGAGCCUCACAAUGAGUAGCAGGGAGUCUGAGGCCCGAGCCACGCGGCGGUCAGGAACAACGGAAUGGAUUCCAGUAGAGCCACAGAAUCAAAGCAACACCUGAGAGACUUGGUGUUGCCCACCACGCAUUGAACUUGGAAAACAACAAGAGGGAUAAUGAGCCGCCGUUCACUGGGUACCCAGCAGGUGCCCACUCCUCACACAUGUGAUCUCUGGAGCACCCACAACCCGCAUACCAGGACUUUGCGAUGCUCUUGAUUGCCGAAAAGCCGUAUGUAGGGAAGGCUGGAGCCAAAGGCUUCGGGAACCAUUCCAGCAUUAGGACCCUGCACGGAUGACAGAGCUGAGACCACGAGAUCCUUGCCCCCUCUGGGGAUCAGCCCCCUCUCCCCUGAGACGAGCUGCCAGGCCACUAAACGCACAGCACAUUGAUCUGCGUCCCAAAGGCUGCUUGUGUUCUCGCUUCCACUGGGAAACUCUCAAUGACUUCCUUCAUUUGGUCUUCAAGCUUGUCAGAAAGCAGGUGCUGCUCAAAUGUGACAGCUGCUCUAAAGGGCUGCUCACAGCAAGCUCCCUGACCAGUGGGAACAUUUGCAACGAUGACAGAAGAGGCCUUGGGUGAUGAGACAGCAGCAAGACAAAGAGAAGAGGGCAGCAAAGGAUGUCACCGGUAAAAUGGCCCCAGGGAAACCACAGGGGACCCGAGCUGGAAAAUACCCACAGCCUCGCGCCUUUCUCUGGACUGUGUAACUUUGGGAAGCUUUAAUCUGGGGAAGACCUGACUCCUCAUCCACCUGCCAUAGAGGAGUGCAAAGUAAGGCUGGGAGCUAAAACUGGCUGAGGAAAGCCGUCUGUCCAUCAAGCUUUGGUUUCUCUCCAUUUGAGAAGUCUUCCUUCCCUGGCUCUUGAGCUUGUAAAUUGUGUAAAAUACUGUUCUGGGCUUAAUAUAAGUUCUCUGCUUUGCAUGACAUUUAUAUUCUUGAAAAAUGUAGUGUACAAAUCAAAUCAAAUUUUGCCUGCCAGAGAAGCUGGCUUUUCAAAAUAAAUCUGAGGUCAAUCCUAUGUUUCAAGAGACGAA